CUACGGCCAUAUCAUCUUUAAAUACUGGUUCUCGUACGAUCAUCGAAGUUAAACAACGUCGAGCCUGGGCAGUACCUAGAUAGGAUCCCCAUGGGAAUAUCAAGCGCUGUAAG